rnacentral:lncRNA from 1 species
GUGUGUAUGUACAUGUGAAACUAAUGUGUGUGUGUGUGUAUGUACAUGUGAAACUAAUGUGUGUGUGUAUGUGUGUGUGUGUGUAUGUGUGUGUGUGUGUAUAAUUCUGUACGUAUAACACUCUCUCUCUGUGUGUGUAUAGCUAUGGGGUUGAAUGCGCUGUGUGUGUGUGUGUGUGUGUGUGUGUGUGUGUGUGUGUGUGUGUGUGUGUGUGUGUAUAAUCUCUCUCUCUCUGUGUGUGUGUGUAUAAUUCUGUACGUAAAGCACUCUCUGUGUGUGUGUAGCUAUGGAGUUGAAUGCGCUGGGCCUGCUGGUGGGCGGGACUCUCCUCCUGUCCAUCAUCAUGCUGAUUGGCCAGUGCCUGAGCUGCAGGAGACACCCCAAUGUCAUCAACCAACGGCCAGACGAUUCAGACUACACACAGAGUGGAGCUGAGAGUUUCAUAGUGCCGAGGCCAGGGACACGAGUGUGUAAGUGACCAGAGAACACACACUAUAGAUGAUGAUGAUGAUGAUGAUGGUGAUGGUGAUGAUGAUGAUGGUGAUGGUGAUGAUGAUGAUGAUGGUGGUGAUGAUGAUGAUGAUGAUGAUGGUGAUGAUGAUGGUGGUGAUGAUGAUGAUGAUGGUGGUGAUGAUGAUGAUGAUGAUGAUGAUGAUGGUGAUGAUGAUGAUGAUGAUGAUGAUGAUGAUGAUGAUGGUGAUGAUGAUGAUGAUGUUUUUGUGUACUCAGACUCA